ACGCUCGACACCUACGGGAGCAGCAGUGGGGAAUAUUGCACAAUGGGGGAAACCCUGAUGCAGCGACGCCGCGUGAGCGAAGAAGUAUCUCGGUAUGUAAAGCUCUAUCAGCAGGGAAGAAAAUGACGGUACCUGACUAAGAAGCACCGGCUAAAUACGUGCCAGCAGCCGCGGUAAUCUGAGCGGGCUGGCAAGGC
rnacentral:rRNA from 1 species